CUAUAAUUGUUCUUCGUUGUAGA
rnacentral:siRNA from 1 species